rnacentral:rRNA from 2 species
CAGCUUGCUGGUAGGCGUCGAGCGGCGGACGGGUGAGUAAUACUUAGGAAUCUACCUAGUAGUGGGGGAUAGCUCGGGGAAACUCGAAUUAAUACCGCAUACGACCUACGGGAGAAAGGGGGCAACUUGUUGCUCUCGCUAUUAGAUGAGCCUAAGUCGGAUUAGCUAGAUGGUGGGGUAAAGGCCUACCAUGGCGACGAUCUGUAGCUGGUCUGAGAGGAUGAUCAGCCACACCGGGACUGAGACACGGCCCGGACUCCUACGGGAGGCAGCAGUGGGGAAUAUUGGACAAUGGGGGCAACCCUGAUCCAGCCAUGCCGCGUGUGUGAAGAAGGCCUUUUGGUUGUAAAGCACUUUAAGCAGUGAAGAAGACUCUGUGGUUAAUACCCACAGACGAUGACAUUAGCUGCAGAAUAAGCACCGGCUAACUCUGUGCCAGCAGCCGCGGUAAUACAGAGGGUGCAAGCGUUAAUCGGAAUUACUGGGCGUAAAGCGAGCGUAGGUGGCUUGAUAAGUCAGAUGUGAAAUCCCCGGGCUUAACCUGGGAACUGCAUCUGAUACUGUUAAGCUAGAGUAGGUGAGAGGGAAGUAGAAUUUCAGGUGUAGCGGUGAAAUGCGUAGAGAUCUGAAGGAAUACCGAUGGCGAAGGCAGCUUCCUGGCAUCAUACUGACACUGAGGCUCGAAAGCGUGGGUAGCAAACAGGAUUAGAUACCCUGGUAGUCCACGCCGUAAACGAUGUCUACUAGUCGUUGGGUCCCUUGAGGACUUAGUGACGCAGCUAACGCAAUAAGUAGACCGCCUGGGGAGUACGGCCGCA